AGAGUUUGAUCCUGGCUCAGAGCGAACGCUGGCGGCAGGCUUAACACAUGCAAGUCGAGCGGGCGUAGCAAUACGUCAGCGGCAGACGGGUGAGUAACGCGUGGGAACAUACCUUUUGGUUCGGAACAACACAGGGAAACUUGUGCUAAUACCGGAUAAGCCCUUACGGGGAAAGAUUUAUCGCCGAAAGAUUGGCCCGCCGUCUGAUUAGCUAGUUGGUGAGGUAACGGCUCACCAAGGCGACGAUCAGUAGCUGGUCUGAGAGGAUGAUCAGCCACAUUGGGACUGAGACACGGCCCAAACUCCUACGGGAGGCAGCAGUGGGGAAUAUUGGACAAUGGGCGCAAGCCUGAUCCAGCCAUGCCGCGUGAGUGAUGAAGGCCCUAGGGUUGUAAAGCUCUUUUGUGCGGGAAGAUAAUGACGGUACCGCAAGAAUAA
rnacentral:rRNA from 1 species